GUAAGGAAUAUUGGUCAAUGGGGGCAACCCUGAACCAGCCAUGCCGCGUGAAGGAUGAAGGCGUUAUGCGUUGUAAACUUCUUUUGUAUGGGAAGAAUGACAGGGAUUUAUCCUUGGAGAGACGGUACCAUACGAAUAAGCACCGGCUAACUCCGUGCCAGCAGCCGCGGUAAUACGGAGGGUGCAAGCGUUAUCCGGAAUCACUGGGCUUAAAGGGUACGUAGGCGGUUAAUUAAGUCAGUAGUGAAAGACUGUCGCUCAACGACGGAUGUGCUAUUGAUACUGGUUAACUUGAAUCAGGUUAGAGUUGGCGGAAUGGGUCAUGUAGCGGUGAAAUGCUUAGAUAUGACACAGAACACCAAUUGCGAAGGCAGCUCACUAAGGCGAUACUGACGCUGAGGCACGAAAGCGUGGGGAUCGAACAGGAUUAGAAACCCCAGUAGUCC
rnacentral:rRNA from 1 species